CAUGUGGAUCACCGUUUGAGGACUUCUACCUUAGAGUCUUGUGAAAAAUACCAACUUACCACUUUUCUAUUUUGGUUAAAGUAUAAUAUUCUAUCUCUUUGCAUGCUUGAAUUUGCUUUGAUCGUGUUCGGCAAGGUGAUUCUAGGGUUUUGGGUUAGGCUCAAUAGUUUUAUUUGAUAAAGCUAUUGAUUUGAGUGUUUUAAAAAAAUUUUAAAAAUCACUUUCUACUGUAUGGCCAGAACCCAAUAUUCUCUUCCUCGAUC
rnacentral:lncRNA from 1 species